UACUGGGCGGAGCUGAGCUGCCGGUGUCAGACAACACUAGCCACUUGUCGCAGCCACAGGUAGCAUCCACCACCAUCAACAUGUACAAACUGCUCCUUGUCGUGCUGGCCGUGCUCGCCGCCGCCUCCGCCCAGUACGUCAGCCCCUACUACGGCUACGGUGGAGCGUACCGCAGCGGCUACUACGGCGGGUACGCCGCUCCCUUGGCCUACGGCAGGUCCGUGGGAUACGGCUACGGCGGAUACCUGUACGGCUGAACGUUGCAGUGUCUGGUCUGUUGACAGUGUGGAAUAUUUCUUAUCUAAAUAUUGUACCAGUAUUUGCAUCAUGAAAUAAACUUCUUUGUCAAUUUAUAAUUUAAUAUUUUAUUGAACAUUAAAAAAUUUAUAUUGAUAUUCAUAAAAAAUGUUUACAAAAUAUUAUUUAUAAAAAAUGUCUAUAGUAUAAUAAAUUACGAUAUGGAUACUAAAUUACAGAAUAUAAGUUAUUUUUGUUAGCAUAUAUAUUGAACUAUAAGUAAAGCCCUUGGACAAACAUGAAAAAAAAAAAUCUAAUUAAAAAUGUAUUACAGGUUUUACAGAAAAUGAACCAAUAGGGAACCAUUAUGCUUUUAAAUAGAACCUGAUGGGCUAAACACAGAUUCAUACCAAAGCACAUUUUAAAGGAAAAGUCUUUCGAUGAGAUAAUAUAUUAAG